rnacentral:rRNA from 1 species
AUUGAACGCUGGCGGCCUGCCUAACACAUGCAAGUCGAACGAGUGGCGGACGGGUGAGUAAUGUCUGUGCAACUGCCUCAUGGAGGGGGAUCACUACUGGCAACGGUCGCUAAUACCGCCUACCCUCCUAUGUGCCCAGCUGGGAGUAGCUAGUUGGUGUGGUAACGGCUCACAAAGGCGACGAUCCCUAGCUGGUCGGAGAGGAUGACCAGCCACACUGGAACUGAGACACGGUCCAGACGCGUACGGGAGGCAGCAGGGGGGAAUAUGGCACAAUGGGCGCAAGCCUGAGGCAGCCAGGCCGCGUGUAGGAAGAAGGCCUGCGGGUUGUAAAGUACUUUCAGCGGGGAGGCGGUACCCGCAGAAGAAGCACCGGCUAACUCCGUGCCAGCAGCCGCGGUAAUAC